CGGAGGACUUCCCUCUCUUUCUUUUGGUUUUUAGUCGAACACUUCCCCCUUUUUUGUUCCAAACCCUUCCCAAAUAUUUUUUUUGAUAAGGUAAACCCUUCCCAAAGUUUACCAGACGCUUCAACUAGAGUUCCGAAGUUUGAGAUCUGAAUGAUCCUCCGGCCUUCCCUCAACCCAAAAUUAGGGCUUGAAAUGGGAUGAGGGCCUAAUAUUGAGUUCCUUAAAUUGCUGAACAAAGCAACAUCUACAAUUCAAUUGGAUGCAGCAUUACGCUAAUGAGGAGUUCUUUUCUCUAACUUCAAUCAAGGAAAUUAUAUUUGUCAAGUCUUAAGGUCUUGUUGAAUUUCUUACCAACAUCUGGUUGCCAUUGAUACAGUUUUCCAACAACAGAAAAUGAAGUCAACCACAUACUAGGAGGAGUUUGAAGGCAAAGGAACAGUUUGGAGAUCUUUUAUGUUAUUUUUUGGGUCAUGUAUAUAUACAUAGAAAAUGUAUUAUAAUGUAUAUUAGAAUACUUUAUAUUGUUUGACUUUUUAGCAAUGAAAGGUUCUUAUAUAUUUUUAUUUCUCAGAACUGCUU